UACCCAUGAUGUGGCCACUUCAAGAGUAACCCAUUGAAUCGCUCUCAUGUUUCGAAAAAUUGCUCAUCUUCUCUCUGGGUAAACUCUGAGAUUUCCCUGGGAA
rnacentral:snoRNA from 1 species